rnacentral:rRNA from 1 species
AAGUCGAGCGGAAAGGCCCCUUCGGGGGUACUCGAGCGGCGAACGGGUGAGUAACACGUGGGUAACCUGCCCCUGGCUCCGGGAUAACCUUGGGAAACCGAGGCUAAUACCGGAUACGACUCGCGACCGCAUGGUCUGCGGGUGGAAAGGAUUCCGGCCAGGGAUGGACUCGCGGCCUAUCAGCUAGUUGGUGGGGUAAUGGCCUACCAAGGCGACGACGGGUAGCCGGCCUGAGAGGGCGACCGGCCACACUGGGACUGAGACACGGCCCAGACUCCUACGGGAGGCAGCAGUGGGGAAUAUUGCGCAAUGGGCGAAAGCCUGACGCAGCAACGCCGCGUGAGGGAUGACGGCCUUCGGGUUGUAAACCUCUUUCAGCUCCGACGAAGCCUUCGGGUGACUGUAGGAGCAGAAGAAGCACCGGCUAACUACGUGCCAGCAGCCGCGGUAAUACGUAGGGUGCGAGCGUUGUCCGGAAUUAUUGGGCGUAAAGAGCUCGUAGGCGGCCUGUUGCGUCUGCUGUGAAAGCCCGGGGCUUAACCCCGGGUCUGCAGUGGAUACGGGCAGGCUAGAGUUCGGCAGGGGAGACUGGAAUUCCUGGUGUAGCGGUGAAAUGCGCAGAUAUCAGGAGGAACACCGGUGGCGAAGGCGGGUCUCUGGGCCGAUACUGACGCUGAGGAGCGAAAGCGUGGGGAGCGAACAGGAUUAGAUACCCUGGUAGUCCACGCCGUAAACGUUGGGCGCUAGGUGUGGGGUCCCUUCCACGGGUUCCGUGCCGUAGCUAACGCAUUAAGCGCCCCGCCUGGGGGAGUACGGCCGCAAGGCUUAAACUCAAAGGAAUUGA